UACGUAGGGGCCUAGCGUUGUCCGGAAUUAUUGGGCGUAAAGGGCUCGUAGGCGGCGUGUCGCGUCGGGGAGUGAAAGCCCGCUGCUUAACGGCGGGUUGGCUUCCGGUACGGGCAUCGCUGGAGUGCGGCAGGGGAGACUGGAAUUCCUGGUGUAGCGGUGGAAUGCGCAGAUAUCAGGAGGAACACCGGUGGCGAAGGCGGGUCUCUGGGCCGUUACUGACGCUGAGGAGCGAAAGCGUGGGGAGCGAACAGG
rnacentral:rRNA from 1 species